rnacentral:rRNA from 1 species
UACGUAGGGUGCAAGCGUUGUCCGGAAUUAUUGGGCGUAAAGAGCUCGUAGGCGGUUUGUCGCGUCUGCUGUGAAAGCUCGGGGCUUAACCCCGGGCCUGCAGUGGGUACGGGCAGACUAGAGUGCGGUAGGGGAGACUGGAAUUCCUGGUGUAGCGGUGAAAUGCGCAGAUAUCAGGAGGAACACCGGUGGCGAAGGCGGGUCUCUGGGCCGAUACUGACGCUGAGGAGCGAAAGCGUGGGGAGCGAACAGG